rfam:Mus musculus chromosome 8, GRC primary reference assembly.
CCCCCCAGCCACUGGGCAAAGAGACACCUUGUUGGUGAUGUUGUUCUCAUAUUAGUCAGGAGUGGAGCAGAUGGUAGUCUUUUGUUCAUCCUAGCUUGAAGCCUGGCUUGGUGGCCAAAGCUGUCUUAUGCAUAGGACUAAUAA